rnacentral:misc_RNA from 1 species
UUUCCGUAGGUGAACCUGCGGAAGGAUCAUUACUGAGUGAUGGCGACUCGGGGUCCAACCGCUCACCCGUGUUUAACUAACCUUGUUUCUUCGGCGGUCCCUCCUCACGGCCGCCGGGGGGCAUCUGUCCCCGGGGCCGCGCCCGGCGGAACCACCCGUGUAUGCUGUGUGUAGUAUGCAGUCUGAUACAAUUAUUAAAUUAAAUAAAACUUUCAACAACGGAUCUCUUGGUUCCG